CGGGAGCGGUGAGGGCGGCUGAAUCAUGGCCUGCCAGCCGGACAAGCCUUUUUAUUUACCCUCUUCCUUUAAAGGGUUUAAUAGGAGCAGGAAGUGAUCGCGGGCUCCUCCCGGGUUCCCAGGGGGUGGGGGUGGGGAGAGCCGGCAGAGACCUGGGGGGGCCCCCACCUUCAACACCGCACUGGGCUGUGAGCUGGGCUGGUGCUGUAAAGCAGACACAGCAGGGAAAGCCCUAGUGGCGUGGGGCUGUGAGAGCCACCCUAGCCCUGCAAAACGGAAACACAGGUGCCCUGGUUCCAAAAGUAUUAACAUUUUCAGGACGGUGACUGGUGACUGCCAAGCACAAAGCCAAGUGUGGGACGUUCUGGGUGCAGGCCCAUUAGGCUGGCCCUACCUGCCCUCGCUGUGUGGCCUGGGGCAAGCCCCGUCCCUGGCCCUUCAGGGUCACCCUGAGGAAUGAGGGUCACCUCUGGCUCAGAACAGGCCUGGGCAGAUGGCAGGCAGGUGGCAGCUGCCCAGUGGUCCCCACCUGUGGGUCCAGAGGGCCUGUAGGAGGGCUGGGCAGCAGAGAGGGCAGAGGUGGGGCCCAGGACGAACAUAGGGACGGCUGGUCAGUGUUCUGGUGGGGGUGUGGGAGGGAGCUGGCCAGAAGGUGAAGGCCGCACAGGGUGGGUAGGUGGUGGGGGAAAGGAUCUCCCCUCGGGACAACACAGGGCAGACUUGUAAGGUGGUAAGUUUCCCAUCACUACAGGCAUCCCAGCAGAGCUGGCCAGCCCAUGACAGGCUAAGAGGAUUCCAGCAUCAGGCAGGUUGAGAUGACUGACCCUCCAUCCAGGGGCUCUGCCACCUUGGGGCUUGGGCUGUGGCUGUGCUGAGGGGUCCUCUGGGCAGUGGGACCCGGGAAAGGCAGACCAGGGCGGAACUCUGUGCCGCUGCUCUCGGGAGCCACUGUGAGCCUUUGGGUGCCCGGCGCUCUGCCCGGACCCCCUCCGGGACCCACCAACAAUCCCCAGCCCCCGAGGCCAGUCAGCAGAACCUCAGACACUGGCAUUGCUUAAGCACCUACUGUGUGCCUGCAGGUCUGGCAGGUGCUAGGACCCUGAGGAGAGGGGAGGACCCCUGCCUGCCCUAGGGAGCACCAGGGUAGCUGUGAGGGAGCGGGGGCUGGGGGGCUGGGGCCAAGAGGAUGGCUUGGAGGACUCCAUGGGGAGGGCAGGCGCCAGAGAGGGUCCCUGAGGAGCCCAGGUCCGUGAGGCUGUGAAGGCUUGCUAGGGGCUGGCGUUCCAGGCCUGUGCUGGGAGUGCACCCAAGGUGGGCAUACUUCUCAGCACAUUUCACAGAUGUGGGAGCUGCGGCCCCAGGGAGGAAGGGACAGGAGAGAGAGGAGCAGAGACAGGGCUUGAAAGUGCUGAGGAAUGACCGAGCAAGAGGAGAGAAGUGAGCGCCCUUGAAGACAAGGUGAGGCCAGGGGAGCUGCCCCUCCCCACGCCCACCCCGCCCUGAGCUCCUCUCCUUGCCAGGUCUCUGGGGGAGGGGGCAGGAGUCGCUGCCCAGUGACCUCGGGGUGCCACUCUGACAGGUGGGCAUCAGUGGGAGCUGGGGGGGGGCAGGUCGUAGCGGGUGGGGAGCCCACCACCCCUCUACCCAGGGGAGGUGGGGACGGCCACCCCCCAGGGGCCCCUGGGUCACUGAUUCCACCCGCUCCGCCUCAGUGACUUCCCAGCUCCUGUGAGGCCAAACCAGCAUGAAGCCGCCAAACCAGCAUGAAGCCGGAGCGAGGAGGGACCCUGUCCCCACCCCCAAGCAGGCCUGUCUGAGGCCCUCUGGAAUGUGGGAGCCAAGAGCUGACUUUUCACCCACAGUGAGGACCUUCUAGGGGGAUGCCCCCCCAAGGCCAUUUGAUACCUAGGACCUCAGAGGACCCACCAGGACGGACCCCCUGGUGUGGAUUCAUUCAGGCUGCACCCGUAGGGAGCCACGCUCCCCGCUCCCCACCCCACGAAGGGUUCUAGCCAGGUUGGUACAGGAGAGGGAGGAGCCACUGGCCAGAGACAGGAGCGUAGCACCUGCAGGGAGGCCAACAUGGCCCCGCCCAGCCGGCCUGGCCUCAUGUCUCCCUCGUGGUCACUCCAUGAGGUGGGGGUGCUUCCUUGGUUUUGCAGGGAACAGGGUAGGGAUCUCAGAGAAGUUAAGGGACUCAGGAAGUGGCCUCCCCCAAGCAGCUGAGCUGGUUCUGGGUGGGGGUGUCUGGUGGCUGCUUCUCAGACGGGGAGGGGGCCACACUGGGCCUUGUCUCACGUCAGGCAGCGCUGAUCUCGGCCAAGUUUACUAAUAUUUAUCCCAGGGCUGCAUCCGGGAUUCACCGGAGCCUGACUGAGGGAACUCCCCACAGGCAGACAGAGAUGGUCCCCGAACACCCGUAUGGGGACACCUGCCAUCCCGUCCAGCUGGGUGAGGAUGUCAGGCAGCCUGGGCAGAGGCGAGGGCGCUUCUUUGAAACUCACCAGGUGAGGUCAUUUCCACGGCGGUGACGAGGCCAGGCCCUCCAGGCUCUUACCCAACAAGCCGGGUGAACGGAAACCAUGUGUCAGCAGCCCGGUGCCCGGGGCUCGAUACCAUACUCUUCCGGCUCCCCUACCUGGGUCCCCCUCCUCUUGCCUCUUCCAGGAAGCCCUCCCAGAUUGCCAGGGCCACCCUAAGGCCUGCUCCCACCAAUGACAUAACUGCUGGGCCUUGGGGUCCCGUUUAGGGCGAGCCUGAGGAGGAGGGCGGGGGAGGCCCUAGCUGCCGGGAGUUGCAGCACCUGAGAGGUGGCCUGAUGCCACCUGACCUGAGCCCAACAUCACCCGUUGGCUGUGGCCUGUAACUCAGGCCUGCCCUCAGUCCCUCUCCUCAAAGCCGCGGCCUGGGAAAAGUGAGCGGUCCAAGGGCGGGAGGCAGGAGGCCUGUCCCCACUUGGUUCCAGGCUCUCACUGUCAGCCUGGCCUUGGCCCCCCAGGGCUGUGUCCCUUGUCCCUCUGUCUGGCUCCCUGAGCCCCUCAGCAGUAGUCUGACUGGCAGGCCCCGCCUUACUGGGCCCUGAGGAUCGAAUGAGACUGACACUGCACCUUCCUCCUCCUCGGCCCCUGUCAAGCUCCUGUUCACCCCUCAGGACCCUGCUCAGGAGUCACUAUCAGCUCCUGGAAUGCAGUGACAUUCUAGUCUUCGGGAACCUCCCGGCCCAGCCUGGGCACUCAGGAAAUGUUUCUGGAAAUGGGUGGACCUGAAAAGCAUCCAUCUGCCUGUCCGAGACUCCCCACUCUGGGCAGAGCAACCGACGUGGGGAUCAUUUGUUUGUCUGUGGAACCGAAACAGCUGGUG